rnacentral:rRNA from 1 species
GAUGAACGCUGGCGGCGUGCCUAAUACAUGCAAGUCGAGCGAACAGACGAGGAGCUUGCUCCUCUGACGUUAGCGGCGGACGGGUGAGUAACACGUGGAUAACCUACCUAUAAGACUGGGAUAACUUCGGGAAACCGGAGCUAAUACCGGAUAAUAUAUUGAACCGCAUGGUUCAAUAGUGAAAGACGGUUUUGCUGUCACUUAUAGAUGGAUCCGCGCUGCAUUAGCUAGUUGGUAAGGUAACGGCUUACCAAGGCGACGAUGCAUAGCCGACCUGAGAGGGUGAUCGGCCACACUGGAACUGAGACACGGUCCAGACUCCUACGGGAGGCAGCAGUAGGGAAUCUUCCGCAAUGGGCGAAAGCCUGACGGAGCAACGCCGCGUGAGUGAUGAAGGUCUUCGGAUCGUAAAACUCUGUUAUUAGGGAAGAACAAAUGUGUAAGUAACUAUGCACGUCUUGACGGUACCUAAUCAGAAAGCCACGGCUAACUACGUG